AUGACCUGGGAAGGGGAAAAGAAAGAAUUGAGAGGAAGAAGGAGAAAGCAGGGAGAAGGAGAGUGUUAUGGGGCUGCGUGCGCGAGUACACGGGAGGUGGAUCGGGUGCUGAGCGGAGGAGGACGGAGGCUUGUUGGUGGCCUCGAUCUGCUCUGGAUCGCGCUGCGCUGCACGGUGGGAGGGGGGCUAGCAACAGCAGCGGCCGUUGAGGGAGGGAGGGUGCUGCGUGGUAGUUUCAGAGAGAUGGGGAGAGAAGAUAGGAAAGGAAUCGGGGAUGGGGGAGAGAAGAGGACGAUAACUGCUGAAACGAUAAGGUUGGAGGUUAGCGGUGAGCGGCUGAGACGAGGACGAGGAUGA
rnacentral:rRNA from 1 species